rnacentral:rRNA from 1 species
GCAGAACGCGAAGAACCUUACCUAGGUUUGACAUAUACGAGAAGCCUCUAGAGAUAGAGGUCUCUUUGGACACUCGUAUACAGGUGGUGCAUGGCUGUCGUCAGCUCGUGUCGUGAGAUGUUGGGUUAAGUCCCGCAACGAGCGCAACCCUCGUCUUAUGUUGCCAGCACGUAAUGGUGGGGACUCAUAAGAGACUGCCGGGGUCAACUCGGAGGAAGGUGGGGAUGACGUCAAGUCAUCAUGCCCCUUAUGCCUAGGGCUUCACGCAUGCUACAAUGGCCGGUACAAAGGGCUGCGAUACCGCAAGGUGGAGCGAAUCCCAAAAAGCCGGUCUCAGUUCGGAUUGGGGUCUGCAACUCGACCCCAUGAAGUCGGAGUCGCUAGUAAUCGCAGAUCAGCAACGCUGCGGUGAAUACGUUCCCGGGUCUUGUACACACCG